GAUGAACGCUGGCGGCGUGCCUAAUACAUGCAAGUCGAGCGAACAGACGAGGAGCUUGCUCCUCUGACGUUAGCGGCGGACGGGUGAGUAACACGUGGAUAACCUACCUAUAAGACUGGGAUAACUUCGGGAAACCGGAGCUAAUACCGGAUAAUAUAUUGAACCGCAUGGUUCAAUAGUGAAAGACGGUUUUGCUGUUAUUAAUAGAUGGAUCCGCGCCGCAUUAGCUAGUUGGUAAGGUAACGGCUUACCAAGGCAACGAUGCGUAGCCGACCUGAGAGGGUGAUCGGGCACCCUGGAACUGAGAAACGGCACACACUCCUACGGGAGGACGCAGUAGGGAAUCUUCCGCGAUGGGCGAGAGCUUGACGGACCAACGCCGGGGGAGUGAUGAAGGUCUUCGAACCGUAAAACGCUGUUAUUAGGGAAGAACAAAUGUGUAAGUAACUAUGCACAUCUUGACGGUACCUAAUCAGAAAGCCACGGCUAACUACGUG
rnacentral:rRNA from 1 species